rnacentral:rRNA from 1 species
GACGAACGCUGGCGGCGUGCUUAACACAUGCAAGUCGAACGAUGAAGCCGGAGCUUGCUCUGGUGAAUUAGUGGCGAACGGGUGAGUAACACGUGAGUAACCUGCCCUUGACUCUGGGAUAACUGCGGGAAACUGUAGCUAAUACCGGAUACGACCCUCGGAGGCAUCUCCUGGGGGUGGAAAGAAUUUCGGUCAAGGAUGGACUCGCGGCCUAUCAGCUAGUUGGUGAGGUAAAGGCUCACCAAGGCGACGACGGGUAGCCGGCCUGGUAGGGUGACGGGCCACACGGGGACUGAGACACGGCCCAGACUACUACGGGAGGCAGCAGUGGGGAAUAUUGCACAAUGGGCGCAAGCCUGAUGCAGCAACGCCGCGUGAGGGAUGACGGCCUUCGGGUUGUAAACCUCUUUUAGCAGGGAAGAAGCGAAAGUGACGGUACCUGCAGAAAAAGCACCGGCUAACUAUGUGCCAGCCGCCGCAGUAA